rnacentral:rRNA from 1 species
GGUUAAGCGACUAAGCGUACACGGUGGAUGCCCUGGCAGUCAGAGGCGAUGAAGGACGUGCUAAUCUGCGAAAAGCGUCGGUAAGGUGAUAUGAACCGUUAUAACCGGCGAUGUCCGAAUGGGGAAACCCAGUGUGAUUCGUCACACUAUCGUUAACUGAAUACAUAGGUUAACGAGGCGAACCGGGGGAACUGAAACAUCUAAGUACCCCGAGGAAAAGAAAUCAACCGAGAUUCCCCCAGUAGCGGCGAGCGAACGGGGAGCAGCCCAGAGUCUGAAUCAGCUUGUGUGUUAGUGGAACGGUCUGGAAAGUCCGACGGUACAGGGUGAUAGUCCCGUACACCAAAAUGCACAGGCUGUGAACUCGAAGAGUAGGGCGGGACACGUGGUAUCCUGUCUGAAUAUGGGGGGACCAUCCUCCAAGGCUAAAUACUCCUGACUGACCGAUAGUGAACCAGUACCGUGAGGGAAAGGCGAAAAGAACCCCGGCGAGGGGAGUGAAAAAGAACCUGAAACCGUGUACGUACAAGCAGUGGGAGCACCUUUAUGGUGUGACUGCGUACCUUUUGUAUAAUGGGUCAGCGACUUAUAUUCUGUAGCAAGGUUAACCGUAUAGGGGAGCCGCAGGGAAACCGAGUCUUAACUGGGCGUUAAGUUGCAGGGUAUAGACCCGAAACCCGGUGAUCUAGCCAUGGGCAGGUUGAAGGUUGGGUAACACUAACUGGAGGACCGAACCGACUAAUGUUGAAAAAUUAGCGGAUGACUUGUGGCUGGGGGUGAAAGGCCAAUCAAACCGGGAGAUAGCUGGUUCUCCCCGAAAGCUAUUUAGGUAGCGCCUCGUGAACUCAUCUUCGGGGGUAGAGCACUGUUUCGGCUAGGGGGUCAUCCCGACUUACCAACCCGAUGCAAACUACGAAUACCGAAGAAUGUUAUCACGGGAGACACACGGCGGGUGCUAACGUCCGUCGUGAAGAGGGAAACAACCCAGACCGCCAGCUAAGGUCCCAAAGUCAUGGUUAAGUGGGAAACGAUGUGGGAAGGCACAGACAGCCAGGAUGUUGGCUUAGAAGCAGCCAUCAUUUAAAGAAAGCGUAAUAGCUCACUGGUCGAGUCGGCCUGCGCGGAAGAUGUAACGGGGCUAAACCAUGCACCGAAGCUGCGGCAGCGACACUAUGUGUUGUUGGGUAGGGGAGCGUUCUGUAAGCCUGCGAAGGUGACCUGUGAGGGUUGCUGGAGGUAUCAGAAGUGCGAAUGCUGACAUAAGUAACGAUAAAGCGGGUGAAAAGCCCGCUCGCCGGAAGACCAAGGGUUCCUGUCCAACGUUAAUCGGGGCAGGGUGAGUCGACCCCUAAGGCGAGGCCGAAAGGCGUAGUCGAUGGGAAACAGGUUAAUAUUCCUGUACUUGGUGUUACUGCGAAGGGGGGACGGAGAAGGCUAUGUUAGCCGGGCGACGGUUGUCCCGGUUUAAGCAUGUAGGCUGGUUAUCCAGGCAAAUCCGGAUAAUCAAGGCUGAGGUGUGAUGACGAGGCACUACGGUGCUGAAGUAACAAAUGCCCUGCUUCCAGGAAAAGCCUCUAAGCAUCAGGUAACAUCAAAUCGUACCCCAAACCGACACAGGUGGUCAGGUAGAGAAUACCAAGGCGCUUGAGAGAACUCGGGUGAAGGAACUAGGCAAAAUGGUGCCGUAACUUCGGGAGAAGGCACGCUGGUGUGUAGGUGAAGUCCCUGCGGAUGGAGCUGAGACCAGUCGAAGAUACCAGCUGGCUGCAACUGUUUAUUAAAAACACAGCACUGUGCAAACACGAAAGUGGACGUAUACGGUGUGACGCCUGCCCGGUGCCGGAAGGUUAAUUGAUGGGGUUAUCCGUAAGGAGAAGCUCUUGAUCGAAGCCCCGGUAAACGGCGGCCGUAACUAUAACGGUCCUAAGGUAGCGAAAUUCCUUGUCGGGUAAGUUCCGACCUGCACGAAUGGCGUAAUGAUGGCCAGGCUGUCUCCACCCGAGACUCAGUGAAAUUGAACUCGCUGUGAAGAUGCAGUGUACCCGCGGCAAGACGGAAAGACCCCGUGAACCUUUACUAUAGCUUGACACUGAACAUUGAGCCUUGAUGUGUAGGAUAGGUGGGAGGCUUUGAAGCGUGGACGCCAGUCUGCGUGGAGCCAACCUUGAAAUACCACCCUUUAAUGUUUGAUGUUCUAACGUUGGCCCCUUAUCGGGGUUGCGGACAGUGUCUGGUGGGUAGUUUGACUGGGGCGGUCUCCUCCCAAAGCGUAACGGAGGAGCACGAAGGUUAGCUAAUCCUGGUCGGACAUCAGGAGGUUAGUGCAAUGGCAUAAGCUAGCUUGACUGCGAGCGUGACGGCGCGAGCAGGUGCGAAAGCAGGUCAUAGUGAUCCGGUGGUUCUGAAUGGAAGGGCCAUCGCUCAACGGAUAAAAGGUACUCCGGGGAUAACAGGCUGAUACCGCCCAAGAGUUCAUAUCGACGGCGGUGUUUGGCACCUCGAUGUCGGCUCAUCACAUCCUGGGGCUGAAGUAGGUCCCAAGGGUAUGGCUGUUCGCCAUUUAAAGUGGUACGCGAGCUGGGUUUAGAACGUCGUGAGACAGUUCGGUCCCUAUCUGCCGUGGGCGCUGGAGAAUUGAGGGGGGCUGCUCCUAGUACGAGAGGACCGGAGUGGACGCAUCACUGGUGUUCGGGUUGUCAUGCCAAUGGCACUGCCCGGUAGCUAAAUGCGGAAGAGAUAAGUGCUGAAAGCAUCUAAGCACGAAACUUGCCCCGAGAUGAGUUCUCCCUGAGACUUUAAGUCUCCUGAAGGAACGUUGAAGACGACGACGUUGAUAGGCCGGGUGUGUAAGCGCAGCGAUGCGUUGAGCUAACCGGUACUAAUGAACCGUGAGGCUUAACCUU